UUUAAUCACCAUUCCCCUACUCUACAAAUAGUUCGCAAGGGUGGCUAUACGUUCUGAAAAACAGGAUUUUUCAAAAUGAAGCCUUCAUCUCCAGCGGUCUUCAUCCUGUUGUCUCUCCUCUUGUCAACUCUAAUCACCUCUUCGGCCAGAUCCGUACCAACCUCCCAUUUCGGAGUAAAAGGUUGGUUAAUUUCUUCCUUUCUCCAUUGAAAAGAAAUAUACACACAUAUAUAUAUAUAUAUAUGUAUAUAUUUGCAGUCGUAACGUGUUCCUGUUGAGAUUGUUCAAAUAACUUCAGGGACGAAUGGAGUUGCGUUGGCCUCCCAAAGUGCUGAAGGCAUCGCAAGGGUGACACCUUUUACACCGCCACCACCCAAGGGCAACGAACAUCCUGACCCUCCUCCCUCGAUAAAUCCAGGUAGGAAUGGAGUUGCGUGGGCCUCCCAAGGUACUGAAGGAAUCGCAAGGGUGUCGCCUUUUACACCGCCAUCACCCAAGGGUAACGGGCAUCCUGACCCUCCUCCCUUUAUGAAUCCAUAAGAGCAAGGAUUCUUUACUUCCAUCUAGUAAAACCUGGUCACUGCUCCGAAUAAAUGAUCAAGAAGAAGGGAUUUCUCAUAUUGGCCCCCUAAUUUAAGAGGUUCUGUUUUAAAUGUUUUUUGAGAAACAUCGCCUGCGGUUAAAUUGAAGUUUUUUUAUGCUGCAUUUUGGAUAUUCGUUCUGGCAUAUGGAUUGCCAAUUAGUUCUGCUUCCCU
rnacentral:lncRNA from 1 species